UCCAAUGUAAUCUCUGCCAACACCAUG
rnacentral:piRNA from 1 species